GAAAGCAGGGGCCCAGGCUGUCACAUCCUCUGUGGGUCGUGGUCCAGUCACCAUAAAGGUCAGAGAAGGUAACUGGGUGAUAAUGAAGGACCUUCCCUCCCCCUCGGCCUGCCCUGUCCCGGACCGAACUCUGCACCGUCUCCCCCAGGGGCCUCUACCAGGCCAUGUCCGCCGCUGGGCUCCUGGCCCCGCGCACCGGCGACAGGUGCUGCGGGCGCCGCCGCUCGCCUGGAAAUGCGAGCUACCUGGACAGGUGGACACUUCUGGAUAUCGCGGCCCACCUCCCCACGCACACCGAUACUUCAAUAUCCACUGCCUAAGAAUAAGGACCAUCUCCUAAAUGACCAUGCUACAGUUAUCAUACUCAAGAAUUUAAACAUUUCCCAGUUAUCCCCCCACAACUGUCGUUUUUAUUUCUUUUUUGUCCAAUCAACAUUCACAUAUUGCAUUUGCUUGUCAGGUGCCUUUAAUUUCUGAUUUAGUACCAUCCCCUCUUUUUGUUUUUCACAAUAGUGACUUUUAAAAAAAAGUCCCUUGGG